CCCCUUCGUGACCCAGUUGGCCAAGAAGAUAUUCAUGAACCGCCCCAAUUUUUGUGUCCAUUUCUCUGUUUUUAAUUGGCAUAAGGGUGAGAAAAAGUCCUAGACUUUCGUUAAAAUCAUAAAGUCAAACCCAAGAGACCCAAAAUGGUAAUUUGAGAAGCUUGAAAAAUUGUCAGGUAGCCAAGCGAAGAAUAAGAAGCAGAUGAAAGGGGUUGGCGCAUAUGACAUAUGACCGUUAGGUUAUACCUAAGAAUCAAACAAAUAAAACUCCCGGGAAAGUACUUUGGGUAAAAGGAUUUGGUCCUAAAACAAGCAAACCCACCCAACCCAUCUUUCAAAAGUGAGAUUAUUGUGCAUAUGUUUUGCCUUUUUUUUGCUUCAGUUUCAAUGGAGCAAACGAACAAUGGUAUUGGUUAUCCUUCUCCAACAUCAUCACCACCAACACCUCCCUCACCACUUCCCGUCAGUGUAGGACCAGGCAACCAAAAAUACAUCUUCUCUUCAUCUCCAUCACUUUCCCCUCCCUUCUCCCCCCAACCUUCAAGCCAUACAUCGGCAGAGAAUCUCCCUCUUUUGCAUGCUAAACUGUCUGGUACUUCACUGCCACUGGCAUUGACAUUCUCAUUGGAUCGUCGUCGAGAGCCGGAUGAUUUGGCUUCCAAGAACUCUUGCCUUGAAGACUUGCUCAAAUGGUUUAUAGAGAAAUGCUGCACUUGCUGUUCCAGGCCUCCCUGAAAAUUUUCAAAUCCCACGCAAAUUGUUGAAAAUUUGGAAGCAGUACACAACGCAAAGUUCGUCUCCAGGAUAUAUAGAGCACUAACAAAAUUCUAACGCAUUACAAAUCGUGUUUUCUUUCUUUGCUUUUUUGGUUUACAAACCUCAAUUGAUUUUGUCUCCAUUUUGGAGGAAGAUCUUUGUUAGCUCCAUUUAUGACAUCCACGGUCAAUGGAUGAAGCAAUGUGAAAGUUUUAUUGAGACGUCUCAUAUGCUUGGAAAUCA